CCGAGCGACAACAUCGUUCUGCUUCUACCAAACGUCUUCAUGUGUGACGAGUUCAGUGCCCUCUAGGAAGCUUCAGCUGUGAUCAUUCCUGUGUUAAGUGGGUUGCACACUUUAGGCUGCACUACCCCCUGUCUUGCUGCAAACGACCAUUUCCCCUGUGUGAGUAAAAAGACAUUUUACUCACAAGCCCCAUCAGUGACUGGUGACAUUAAUGUAAUGUUGCAUGAAUGAAAGCAGCUCUAUGAGUUUGAAAAAUUAGUUUUGAAUUAAAUACAAACUACAGCACAACUUUUAACCCAACAAAAACAUGUGUCCUCUAUUGAAUAUGCAAUCACUGGUAUGCUAUUCAUUACCAGCAAGUCAACAUGAGAGAUCCGUUCUGAUGGGGCCCCUAUAAGAAAUUGAGGCAGCAUUUGAAAGUGCCUGAGGCUGUGGGCGCACACUAUGGUGAGAUGAUUUCAGGCAAUUCCUUGUUUUCAAUAAGUAAUGACCAGUCUUCUCCUUUUAUUUACUGCAGGAGACAGGUUUAACAGACUUUUGAGAGUCCUGAAGCUGUAUGUGCUUACUGGAACAAGAAGUGCCAAUCUGGCACAUGUCCUGUAAUUGACAUGUAGCAAUUAGCGAUGCUUCACAUGAUCACAAAUGAGUGAAUCACAACUGCAGACAUAUUAUAAAAUGAAGUGAACAAAGGAUCAAGUUCUUCCUGAAGUGAUCUGGAUCUUCAUUAAAAUAAAGUUCAUCCACUCUUUCCCAAUGUUGGGAUCAGAAGGAAGACAAGAUGCUGCACAAUCAUUUGGAAUUUUAUUGUGUGACGACACAUUGAUGGCUCUGAGACUCAUCGAUGUGCCUGGAGUGGUUGAAUCAUGUGGCAUCUACCAAUAAAUAUUUAUGCUUAAGGUCACUGUUGACGAUGGA
ensembl:lncRNA